AGGAAACAUCAAGGACUUUGUGUCUUGAUGUAGAUGCAUUCUAAUUUGGUCUUUUUUUUCAGUCCUCUCAUACCUUACCUGUCAUCCAGGAGUUUGUAUCAGCCGAAGGAGAUCUGAAGCAGAGAAAGAAAGAAGGAAAAGAACUUCCACGUCUUAGCUCAGGAGUGGGAAAAAUAUGGCCCAUGGGCCAACGGGAUUUUGUCCAGCCUGCAGUGAGUCCCUUGAUCCCACCUGCACCAGGCACCAUCUGGCCAUGGCACAUCCUGCAGCCCAAUGGACACGCAGCAGGACUGGGGUGGCUCCUCAGUUGGACUGCCUUUCUAUUUUGAGCUAUUAUGCAAUCACCUCUAUAUACACAACAAAACACACACAAAUCAGGACAAAAUAUUUUUUUAAUAAAAUUAAAAUAUGCUAUUGUCA